rnacentral:misc_RNA from 1 species
AACUGCGAUAAGUAAUGUGAAUUGCAGAAUUCAGUGAAUCAUUGAGUCUUUGAACGCACAUUGCGCCCCCUGGCAUUCCGGGGGGCAUGCCUGUCCGAGCGUCAUUGCUGCCCUUCAAGCCCGGCUUGUGUGUUGGGUCGUCGUCCCCUCCGGGGGACGGGCCCGAAAGGCAGCGGCGGCACCGCGUCCGGUCCUCGAGCGUAUGGGGCUUUGUCACCCGCUCGAUAAGGACCGGCCGGGCGCCAGCCGGCGUCUCCAACCUUUUUUUCUCAGGUUGACCUCGGAUCAGGUAGGGAUACCCGCUGAACUUAAGC